UACGUAGGGUGCAAGCGUUGUCCGGAAUUAUUGGGCGUAAAGGGCGCGUAGGCGGCCACCGCAAGUCGACUGUGAAAUCUCUGGGCUUAACCCAGAACGGUCAGCCGAUACUGCGGGGCUAGAGUGCAGAAGGGGCAACUGGAAUUCUCGGUGUAGCGGUGAAAUGCGUAGAUAUCGAGAGGAACACCUGCGGCGAAGGCGGGUUGCUGGGCUGACACUGACGCUGAGGCGCGAAAGCUAGGGGGAGCGAACGGG
rnacentral:rRNA from 1 species